UAUUUAAGAAUCUGAUGGUGUGUGGGGAUAUACUAGUACGAAGUUCUUAUAUGUAUUUCCUCUCCAAUUUAUAUCUUGGUCAAGAGGGCUCCAUUCCUUAACUCAUUAGUGUACGAUUUAGACAUUGCAAAUCAAACUCUGCUUGCACCCUUCCCGCUUUAAUGUGAAGAUGUGAGAUCAAAAUCUUCCUGCUUUGGUAUGGCCCCUGCAGCUAAAUUUGUAUUCAGGUUAAAUCUGAAGGCACUGGAUGCCUCCAAUGACAGUUAAACAGGAGCGCAAUGCACAAUGGCACUAAGAUACAUUGAAGGCUUAUACUCUUAGAAAUAGAAGCAGAAGUUGUGAUGUCAAAGUCGAUACAAAUAACUUGUAAUGUCCGAAAUAGUACAUAGCGAAUUGUGCUAAACUUUUCUUCGUCUGGUUUAUUUUUGCGCAAAAGUUCCAAGGAUAUGCAGAAAACGCAGGUACUGUCCGGGUCUGGACAUUCAACAUCAGGGCAUAAUGUCAACAGGAAAAGACCGGUAAACGGCUUAAUUCUAAAUUUUGGAUGAAUAUGCAGGGGUGUUAUGGUACGUUUAACGGAAAAUUGUCUCACUUUACGUAUCACUUUAGAUGAAUAUCAGGAUAUGCUGGGGUGUGUUUUAAGCAUUCCAGUUAACAAAUUUACCUUUAAUACUGUCAUCAAUUCCUUUGCUCACUUAAAUGGUCUUGUCCCUAGUGUUGUUACCUAAAACACUCUCAUGAAGGCCCUUCUAUCUCAUGCCUUUGGAGACUGAGUUUUUGUUUAGUAGCUUAUGAGAUUUCAAGAAAUUCAGAUAGUCUCUGCAAAAUGAAUACGAAUCAUGAAUCAUAUUCCAGUUUUAGGGUAGGAUCAUUUUAUAGAAGAUAAUACGUGACCUAAAUUGAGCGGUUAUAUACUAAUAUAAGUGAUAAUAUCUGGGAUUAAUAAUCAUAUUAAACGCAAUCAUCCUAUCUUUGGUGUGCAGAUGUUCUUGGACAAUAAGCCAAGCAUUGAAAGCAUGCUUGGGAAUAUAGCAAAUUUUUCAUAUCAAAUUAAACCACAAAGAUUUUAAUUUAUGAUCAGUAAGGUCAGAGUAAUGGUGGCAAGUUUU